GUCAUUAUAGUUUAACAAAAACAUUAGAAUGUGAACCUAAAAACAGAAGUUUAACCCUUCUUAAUAACC
rnacentral:tRNA from 1 species